rnacentral:rRNA from 1 species
GAGUUUGAUCGUGGCUCAGGAUGAACGCUGGCGGCGUGCUUAACACAUGCAAGUCGAACGGGAAACAUUUUAUUGAAGCUUCGGCAGAUUUAGCUUGUUUCUAGUGGCGGACGGGUGAGUAACGCGUGGGUAACCUGCCUUAUACUGGGGGAUAACAGCCAGAAAUGACUGCUAAUACCGCAUAAGCGCACAGAACCGCAUGGUUCGGUGUGAAAAACUCCGGUGGUAUAAGAUGGACCCGCGUUGGAUUAGCUAGUUGGCAGGGCA